CAAUCAAUAUGAUCAGAAGAAAAAUAAGGCAAAUGCUUGAUAAUGUGUUGAAACUUUAAAGGGGAAGGAUGCCCCAAUCGUUGAUGCCAAGUGAGUGAACUAACAGAAGCAGGUGAGUGAGCAUGACAGGCCUGUGGUAAAGCAACAUGAGAAGGAGAGAACUGAUAUAAGCCAUCCACAUUAGAUCCACUAUGAAGAAUUUUGUUCGUAAGCUUGUCCUGGAUUUGAAAAGAGUUAGCAUCAAAAAUAAUAACACAAUUAUGAUCACGAGUGAGCUAUUGAACAGACAAAAGAUUGGACGCAAUAGCAGAUACAUGUAACAAAUUGUUCAAAGUAAAAGAACAGGUAGGAGCAGGCAAAAGACCUGUGCCAAUAUGAUGAAUGGGCAAAAAGGAACCAUUACCAACAGUCACUUGAUCCUGUCCUUCAUAAGGCUGUGAGAGAUGGAAAUUUGAGAGAUCAUUCGUGAGAUGAUUUGUAGCCGCAGAGUCAAUGUACCAGGGCACAAAGGAAGAACGAGGUGGUGAAGAAUUGUAAGAAGAUGAAGGAAUUGUUGCUGCAUAGGCUCUUGAGUUUGAGGGAUUAGCUGGAACUGGAGAUGAGGAAGACAGUGGUUAGAAAGAUGGAUCCAUUCGAUGCAAGCUAUCAAUAGCAGUGUGGCUUGGUUUGCCAUAAAUCUGACAACCAGUGGAAUUGAACUGUGAUCUGUUUCUGUUGUUAUUUGAUUAAAGAAUAUGGUUGUGCACAUCAACACGCUAGAUCGGUUUGAGUUUUUUUUUUCUAAUUUUUAUAAAUUUAUUUAUUUGUUUAUUUUUGUUUCUUCCUUUAAUAAUCACCAGGUAUAAGAAAUGAGAGAGGGAACUUGUCCAUGCAUAUUCUUCUGAGGGUCUUGGAGGAAUACUUGGGAGGGGUUUGAAGUCAAUUCCUUGGAAAAUAGGGGUUAUGUUGAGGCCGGUUUUGCCCACUUGUGGUAUAGUCUGUUUCUUCUAUCCUUCCCUCCGGGCAAGGUCGAGAGAGUCUGUGAAGCGGUACAAAAAUCUUCUCGCUGAUAUCUUCCCUCAGUCUCAGAGGUCGGUUGGCGUGACUUUUUGCAAUUCUUGUGCUUCUGUAUGUUGAGGAUGACUACUUCAAAGUAUUUUAUCAAGUACAUUGUUAUUGAGUACUCAACAAAAAGAGAAAAAAAGGGAAAAAGUACUUAGUGUUUGACAUUGAUCUGGUUGAUUUUUAUGCUCCGGGGAUUCAAAUGCGAUCUGAAAAUGGUGGGAAAAUUUAGAGAGAUGUUGAUUGGGAUAAUCUGCUUUUGAAGGUAAAAAAUGAAAAGGGCAACAUAUCAUUACACGAGGCCUUGAUGAACGGUCACCAAGUUGUAGCUUAUUAUUUGAUCACAGUAGAUCCAGAAGUGUUACAUUAUCUGAACAAUGAAGUGAAAUCAGCUAUGUUUCUAGCUGCUGAAGUAGGGUUUUAGGAACUUGUCACGCAUAUUCUAUGUGAUACAGUUGGGAUUGAAAAUACAAAUGAAAGACUUGAAGGGUAAUCACCUAUUCAUGCUGCCAUUUUAAAAAGAAACCGAGAACCAAGGUUCAUUCGAUUAAGAGAUGAAGAAGGAAGGACUCCACUUCACUUGAUUGCAUGAUUGGGCUAUCUUGAAGAGGUUCAGUACUUGUUAGGAAGGCAGAGUUCAGGUGCUAUUGCAAGGGACAACAAUGGCUUACUUCCUAUUCAUUUAGCAUCAAUUAAAGGCCAUAUUGAUGUUGUCCGGGCGUUGCUUCAGUAUUGGCCUGAUUCGAGGGAACUGCUCAACUGUCAUGGUCAAAAUAUUCUUCAUGUUGCAGCCAAGAGCAGAGGACAUAACAUGGUUAGUUACAUUCUUCAAACUCCUGAGGUUGACAAGUUUUAUAAACAUGAGGGAUAAGCAUGGAAACACAACCUUGCAUUUGGCCACCUUGGAUUGGCAUCCAAAGAUUGUUAGUACCCUAACAUGGGAUGAAAGAGUGGACUUAUAGUGAAUAAUGAGGGUAUGUCUGCUCUUGAUUCUGCUGAAUACUACAUGGAAAGAAUGUCCUCAUUUCGAAAGGUGGUCAUAGUUUAAAUUUGUGGGACAUUUUUAUCUUGCUACGGUUAACAUGGACUGCAUUGAAGGCCGCUGGUGCACCACUAGCUUACUGUAGAAAAGCCAUCAAUGCUAAAAAGAAACAAGCAUCUAUGCAACUGGAGCAAGUGAACAUAGACAGCUAUAAGGACCGAUUCAACACUCUUCUAUUUGUGUCCACCCUCAUUGCCACUGUAACUUUUGCAGCUGGUUGCACAAUACCCGGUGGUUAUAACAACAUUGAACCUGACCAAGGCAUGCCAACUAUGCUAAAACACAAGUGGUUUCACAUAUUCAUUUUCUGUGACACCAUAGCUCCAUUAUUACUGCUGUUACCCUCAUAUGGGCACAAUUAAGGGACCUCAAUUUGGUGCUUACUGCCUACAGAUUGGCGGCACUACCACUACUGGGGAUCACUCUCACCAAAGCAAGGAGGAAAUGAUAUCAACAGAGAUAUUUCCUCGUUUAAUUUAUUUGAUUUGUUGGUUAAUUGAGUUCCUUUUGUUUGCUUUUGGUCUUAUAUGUUGGUAUCUAAGUAGCUUGCAAGCAAGUAUGUAAUUGUACGUAAUGUUUUGAUAUUUUAGUGUUUUACAGUUAAUGUGGCUGUUAUAUGUUGGA